rnacentral:ncRNA from 1 species
UUAAAAGCUUUGAUUAGGAGUAGUAAUAUUACCUCAUAGCCUAAAGAGAGUUGUGGUUUGCUGUGACACAAUGGUAUGAAAAUAUGAACUUGCCUAUGAGCAUAUGUGUGAAAAAAAGCACAUACGGGAAAAACCCGUUAUAAAAUCGAGUGAGGAAAAGAAAUUUUCCUAAUAAGAGUGGUACCGCGAAUAUCCUUUCGUCUCUUAA